AAACCCAUCCGGGGGGUUUAAGGGGUGUUGGGCCUGCCUAAUGUGGGCCGGUAGCUCAGCCUGGGAGAGCGCCGGCUUUGCAAGCCGGAGGCCCCGGGUUCAAAUCCCGGCCGGUCCACCACGAAGAGGUGCACAUCCCGAGCAACGCUCGGGGUGGAAGGGCCCUAGACCCCGAACAGGGG
rnacentral:tRNA from 1 species